rnacentral:misc_RNA from 1 species
GAAAUGCGAUAAGUAGUGUGAAUUGCAGAAUUCAGUGAAUCAUCGAAUCUUUGAACGCACAUUGCGCCCUUUGGUAUUACUUAGGGCAUGCCUGUUCGAGCGUCAUCUAAACCUUCAAGCCCUGCUUGGUGUUGGGUGCCUGUCCCGCCUCCGCGCGCGGACUCACCUCAAAUCCAUUGGCGGCCCCCGCGUCGGCCACGAGCGCAGCAGAAACGCGAACUCGUGAGCCCGUCCGGGCGGCUCCCAGAAGCUACACCCACCCAGUUUGACCUCGGAUCAGGUAGGGAUACCCGCUGAACUUAAGC